CGGCGGACGGGUGAGUAACGCGUGGGUAACCUACCCUGUACACACGGAUAACAUACCCGAAAGGUAUGCUAAUACGGGAUAAUAUAUUUGAGAGGCAUCUCUUGAAUAUCAAAGGUGAGCCAGUACAGGAUGGACCCGCGUCUGAUUAGCUAGUUGGUAAGGUAACGGCUUACCAAGGCGACGAUCAGUAGCCGACCUGAGAGGGUGAUCGGCCACAUUGGAACUGAGACACGGUCCAA
rnacentral:rRNA from 1 species